GUCAAAGUGUGAAAGUGAGGAAUUGUGGACUGUUUUAAGUCGACUUUUGGACUGAAUUUUGCUAACAUUAACAUGUUAUUAUUUUUAUUAUGUUUUAGUGUUCUUAAUAGGUACUAUUACAUCGGGAAAUGUGACUAUGAGCGAUUUAAUGGCUGCCAUAAUGGGUAUGAAACAUGACCUUAGUAGUCGAAUGGAGAGAAUGGAACGAAUAAUGGACCGAGUGGAAGGAAAAAUGAAAGGGAUGGAAAUCUCUCUUUGCAAGGAGUUAGAUAACUUGAUAGAGCAACCAAGCUUUCCUAAUCAAGUUCCCGUGAGUGGACAUGCUCCACAUAAGCUACAAGGUAAUUAAACUAACUCUUGUACUCUAGUGAAUGAGGCUAGUAUCCAACUAAGUGUGGAUGAUAGUUUGCCUUUAGGUGAGCUGAAUGUGUCUCCAUUUGGUGAUGAUAAUGUACAACUUGAUAUUGUGGAAACACUAGUUGAUCCAUCUAGUGUUGAAGCCAUUGUGGCAAGUGAUAGUACAUUGUCUUAUGGAAGUCAUGAAGACCAACUUGUGUGUGAAAAUGGUGAUCUUGAACAUGUUGGCUGAUUGACUAAAGAUGAACCUCUAGUUGUUUUUGUUGUAGAUCAUGUUAGUAUAGAGGGUGUCAAUAAGUGUAAUGGUGGUAGUCUUGGGGAAAGAAAGUAUGUCCUCCACCCGUGUCCAUGGACACUCUACCCCUUUAAUCCCGGUGACCAUUUGAAAUAUUAUAUUGAUUCUUUUCAAACCAUAUUCGGGAAUGACGUGUAUGCAUUGUGUGGGCAUGGUUAUGUUGAUGCUAAGCAUGUCUUGUAUGUAUUUCAGGUUUCCUGUGAUUGGUGUGUCAUUUUUGAGAACCCGAGGGAUGUUUGGUUAUAUGUGAAAUUUGAGCCACCUUGGCAUGAUGCUAUGAUUGAUUACACUAAUCCUAACCCUCACACCUUGAGGAACUUGUGUUUGCUUGUCCUUCCUAUUAUUUUGCAAGGUUCGAAUUUGAGGACGAAUCCUUUCUAAGGAAGGGAGGAUGCUACGAGUCAACAAGGUAUCUUAGCACUCGAAGACAUGAAGACGUGAGGGAAGACCCGAGCUUGUGGGGCUGCCUAACCAAACAACAAGCUUUGAAGUUUAAAGAACAAGUCCCAACACUCCAAAGCUGUCCAAGAAGUCAAUCCCCUUUGUUUGGGCUCAUUAAGGGCCUUUUGGUCAUUUAUGUAACAAGUGUUGCCCUAGCCUAUAAAUAGAACAAUUAGGUCAUUUUGUCAUUUAGAUUUUGAUGAUAUAUUUUGAG
rnacentral:lncRNA from 1 species